rnacentral:rRNA from 1 species
CAGUCGCCGCGGUAAUACGUAGGUCCCGAGCGUUGUCCGGAUUUAUUAGGCGUAAAGGGAGCGCAGGCGGUUUAGUAAGUCUGAAGUUAAAGGCAUUGGCUCAACCAAUGUAUGCUUUGGAAACUGUUAGACUUGAGUGCAGAAGGGGAGAGUGGAAUUCCAUGUGUAGCGGUGAGAUGCGUAGGUACAUGGAGGAACACCGGUGGCGAAAGCGGCUCUCUGGUCUGUCACUGACGCUGAGGCUCGAAAGCGUGGGUAGCGAACAGGAUUAGAUACCCGGGUAGUCCCUGUCUCUUAUACA